GCACUCACGAUCCAGUGUGCCCCUCGAUUGAUCGAGCGAGAUCGAUUUAACACGAUCGCUUGUGACGGAUGACUGACAAGACGGUAGGUCUGUCAUCGGCUGGGUAAGUGACAAUAGAGAGUAACAAUCUAAAAGCCGAUAUAACGUGUGCUUGCAGCUCUACCACGAAAUAUAUUGUUCUUAAAUACUAUUACCUAAAUACUUGCGUGAAAUUAAACAUCUAAAUACUUAAAACUAAUUAGAUUAAACUUACCUAAGUGCUUAUAGAGAUAGCCAACCUUAAACAUAACCUAGAAGAAUCUCUGUUAUCUGAUUCUAAAAAUACGGUUAAAAUUAUAAGAGGGACUAAACGAAAAUUAUAAUAUCCCCGAGACAUCGUAAGACUACGUGUUUUUGAUAUUAAAAUUACGGAAGAAACCCCCUCAGUCUGUUGCCACUCGCAACAUUUUAUAAUUUUCGUUUACGCGAACGAAUCGAAUUAUGUAC